GUAGGUGAACCUGCGGAGGGAUCAUUACCGAGUGAGGGCCCCGCGCCCGACCUCCAACCCUUUGUCGAUUAAUAUCUGUUGCCUCGGGGGGCGACCCGGACGUCCGCGGCCGGGAGUCCCCCAGAGGACCAAUCAACUCUGCAUCUUUGCGUCGAGUAUUGAAUACAAAUCAAUCAAAACUUUUAACAACGGAUCUCUUGGUUCUG
rnacentral:misc_RNA from 1 species